rnacentral:tRNA from 1 species
GGAAAGUAAGCCUAUAAAGUGAGUUUGCUCAUUUACGCUGAGAGUUUCCUUUUUA